rnacentral:rRNA from 1 species
GACGAACGCUGGCGGCGUGCCUAAUACAUGCAAGUAGGACGCACAGCCUAUACCGUAGCUUGCUACACCAUAGGCUGUGAGUUGCGAACGGGUGAGUAACGCGUAGGUAACCUGCCUAUUAGAGGGGGAUAACUAUUGGAAACGAUAGCUAAUACCGCAUAACAGUAUGUAACACAUGUUAGAUGCUUGAAAGAUGCAAUUGCAUCGCUAGUAGAUGGACCUGCGUUGUAUUAGCUAGUAGGUAGGGUAAAGGCCUACCUAGGCAACGAUACAUAGCCGACCUGAGAGGGUGAUCGGCCACACUGGGACUGAGACACGGCCCAGACUCCUACGGGAGGCAGCAGUAGGGAAUCUUCGGCAAUGGGGGGAACCCUGACCGAGCAACGCCGCGUGAGUGAAGAAGGUUUUCGGAUUCGUAAAGCUUCUG